CAUGUGACCGUGGAAAGUGACAUCAGCGAGAAACACCUGCCGCAGCUUGAAGAUGACUUUAAGAGAGAAGUUCUUACGCUCUGCUAUUUUUGUGCUGAUCUAUGGCUUUCAAAGCUUCAUAUCUUGAGACUGAAAAACGAAGUUGGGCCAUUCAGCACCCCAAACCACUAGGGCACGCGGAAUAAGAUUUGGUCUCCAGACUCACUCGGCCCCAGUGAUGCACGCUUCCAGAAUGGACACAGCUGAGGCUGCGAGUAUGAUUGAGAGGGAAACAGCGAUUAGGGUUCCCAUAACCUCCUUAUUAUCCUCACUGCCCAAACAGAGCUUUGAGACUGAUGUACUAUGUGAGGAUGACAUGAUUAUAAGACAACAAUCUGUUUCAUUUCUGUAAUAUCUCAACAACACCAGUCCGAAGGCAAGAGAUUUUGUGCUGUGAUUUUGUCCUUUUCAUAAUGUAGUGAAGGUGAUGGACAGUUUAUUCUUAUUGAUGCACUACGCUUACAAAUAAAGCGGCAUGAUAUUAGCAUUUUUGAACAUGGUAGCAUAGAAAUAACAUGUUUUUGAAAACAUACUAAUACCACGGAAUUAUUUGAAGUGUCAUAGAGUAUCAUCUAAAUCAAUAUUUUAGAAUUUUAAUGAUUUAGUACAAUGGUGUAAGCUAUGUCCAUUGAGGUAUAUAUAUAUAUACCUCAGGAAAUAUAUCUGUUAACAUUUUCAUUCACCUCAAAGGCAGUUACUUGACCCCUCCAGAAAUAUAUGUAUGUAUAUAUUCACAAUUUACAUGUAUAUAUUCAGACAUAUAACUAUGUUUUCUGAUUUACAUCUAUCAUCUAUAUAUUCAUACUUACAACUAUAUAUUCAGAUUUACACCUGUAUAUGCACAAUUUACAUUUCUAUAUUCAGACUUAUAACUAUAUAUUCUUUUUUACAUAUAUUCAGAUUUACAUAUAUUAGGUUUAC